UGGGGAAUUUUGCGCAAUGGGCGAAAGCCUGACGCAGCAACGCCGCGUGAGUGAUGAAGGCCUUCGGGUCGUAAAGCUCUGUCAGAGGGGAAGAAACGCCUGGCGGUUAAUACCCGGCCGGUCUGACGGUCCCCUCAAAG
rnacentral:rRNA from 1 species